rnacentral:ribozyme from 1 species
CGCAGAGUGAGCCGGGAAACCUCCGACUUAAUGCGGCAAAGGCGGUCACAAGCCCGG